UUUCUCAUUUCUUAUUCAUUCUUUCCCGAAACCAUCUCUCUUCUCUCUCGUUCGUGGGCGAUAAAAAAGGCGAAGAAUCGCCAUUGGAAAAAUCAAUCGAUUCAUAUCGAAUCGUUGAAUUUUCUGGCUAAAUCUCGAUGGUUGCUUUCUCAUUGGAAGUUUUCCUCUGUUUGAUUCCUGUGAAAAAGAUCAAAUCUUUGCUUUCUUUUUGUGAUAAUUUUAUUUCCCCCUCUCUGUAUCAUCAUUUGCGUUUUUGGUUAAUGAAGAAGAGGAUCUGAGAUUAGGGAGAGAUUUUUAUGGAUUGAUGGGUUUUGCUGUACCGGAUGAAUUGCUAGGAACUGUGGCUCCGAUUGUGGUGUAUUGGUUGUAUUCUAGGAUUACAUUCAAAGACUGAAGAAGCAGAGAAGAAUCUUGUUUCGAAAUCUUCUGUAGUCAAAGGUGUUCUUCUUCAGCAGGUUGUUCAAGCUGUUGUCGCUAUCCUUUUGUUCACGGCUGGUGAAGCUUCAAAGAGAGCUGGUGAGGCUGCAGAGCUAGCAAAAAGCCGUCUCCACCAGAUGAACGAUGACCUUCAAGUUCACUGCAGAAUACCCGUGAGUUAUCCAUAAUCAAUUGUCUCAUUCUGCUUUAUGUUAAGACUAGUUUAGUUGAAGCAAUUUAAAAACACAUGAUUCUCACUGCCAUAUAUUUGUCUCGAGAACGAACAACGAGCAAGAGUGAAUUUUGCUCAUUACAUCCACGAGAAGACGAUCCUUAAAGCAUCCCAACUCGGGAUUAUCUUGUGAUUGCAUUUCCAAGCUUUCAUUUCAAGUUUAGUUUCUAAUUUAUUUGCAGAAUCCACAAUGUGUAUAAGAAAACUCAAAUCUUGUUGCAAUAUGAAACAGCAAAUUGAGUCUCCAAUAUGAAAAUGUUGCUGAUUAUGUUAGUUUAAGUUUGAUAUUUUGGGUAAAGAACAAAAAAAACAUUUUGGUUGUUAUGUUAAAAAAUUAUUAUUUAAAUGAUUGAGCAACCUUUUUUGGGUUCAUUUGUAAAAGAAUGAUUUUGCAAAAAUAUUCUUAAAGUUACUUUACUUAAAUUAGUAUUAAUUAUAUGAUUAAUUAAUUUGAAAGUAACUUAGGAGAGGCACUCACUAAGAACGGCAAGAACGGAACCAAAUGGAACUGAAGAACCAAAACGUCGCUAUAUACAUACAUAGAAAUUAAUAGUUUUUUUAAUAAUAAGCAUAAGGGUUGUGGACCACGUCCUUUUGUUUGGUCGUCGAGUUCUGACUUUUUC